rnacentral:rRNA from 1 species
GGCGGGCUAAUAAGUCAGUGGUGAAAUGCAGGGGCUUAACUCCGGCACUGCCAUUGAUACUGUUAGUCUUGAAUUAUUGUGAAGUGGUUAGAAUAUGUAGUGUAGCGGUGAAAUGCUUAGAUAUUACAUAGAACACCAAUUGCGAAGGCAGAUCACUAACAAUAUAUUGACGCUGAUGGACGAAAGCGUGGGUAGCGAACAGGAUUAGAUACCCUGGUAGUCCACGCCGUAAACGAUGGUUACUAGCUGUUCGGUACGAUUGAGUACUGAGUGGCCAAGCGAAAGUGAUAAGUAACCCACCUGGGGAGUACGUUCGCAAGAAUGAAACUCAAAGGAAUUGACGGGGGCCCGCACAAGCGGUGGAGCAUGUGGUUUAAUUCGAUGAUACGCGAGGAACCUUACCAGGGCUUAAAUGCAGAUUGACAGGUUUAGAAGUAGACUUUUCUUCGGACAAUUUGCAAGGUGCUGCAUGGUUGUCGUCAGCUCGUGCCGUGAGGUGUCAGGUUAAGUCCUAUAACGAGCGCAACCCCUAUCACUAGUUGCCAGCGAGUCAAGUCGGGGACUCUAGUGAGACUGCCGGUGCAAACCGUGAGGAAGGUGGGGAUGACGUCAAAUCAUCACGGCCCUUACGUCCAGGGCUACACACGUGCUACAAUGGUGAGUACAGAUGGUUGCUGCUUGGUGACAAGUUUGCUAAUCUAUAAAACUCAUCUCAGUUCGGAUUGAAGUCUGAAACUCGACUUCAUGAA